ensembl:lncRNA
AAACAAACAAAAGAAUACAGUACGUAAAAAUACGAAAAUACUUGAAUCACGUUAUGGAAUUAAUUUGGAUGUUAGCUAAAGAAGACAGACGAAGCAAAAAGAAAAGCGGUAGUAUUAAAUGGUAGCCUAUAUAGCAUAGCUAACAAGUUAUUGGGUAGAGUCCAUUCUAUUUUACACUGACUUUGCCCACUCUGUCAAACCCACUACAUUGAGACUAACACAGAAGCACAUAGACGGCCACAGGAAAAACGCUGCGUUGCUCAAAGGGAAAUGUGACCUCACCACCUCUGCUGUCCUGGCUUCAACGCCAGUUGCAAGUUGCAGGGGCUUGAAUGGCACAAGCAAGGAGCCCAGCCAACAGUGCGUUGCAACAGUCCAGACAGGAAAUGAAAAGAGACUGGAUCAGAACCUGAAAUGUUUCCUGUGUAAGACUGUUGAAAGCAGCGGUUUGUAGGACACAACGGAGAGAAAAACAAAGGACUGAAGACAAUCGCAGCAAAAUGUUCACCAUAACCAGCGUAAUCUUGGGUACAGACAUCGUCAGGGUGUUGUGGUUUGAAACAGCUUGAGAAGCAACAGUCCAGAAGCAAGAGAGCCUACAACCACAAAUACAGCUGCCAACCACAUCAAGUUCCUCUUGGGCAUCUCAUUUUGGUCCUCAGGAUCCUUAAGCAUUGGUCCUGUAACACAAAGUACAAGUGAAAUCCAUGCCAUCAUCCAUCAUCAUGGGAAAGCCAGAGGUUCAUUUUCCCUUUUACUUUGUGACCGUGAGACGUGAUGACAUUCACUGCAUGACUGGCACUCUGGUGUCCCUCUAUGUGAUGUCCAAACACUAGACAUACAAGCCGACAAGAACUGCCACUUUUAGGCCGGUCUCGAAUAAUUCCUUCGAAUGGAACGACCCCCCGUGGACUUCUUGAUCUGUCCACGUCUUCUAUGUAAGAGGCUUACAAUCUCCCUGCCCCUUCCCCCACCUUACUCAUCAAUACAACAGCUUAAGUCAUUCACACACGUGAUGUAGUAUUGACAUUGUUGUGUCAACUGGUUUCUAAAAAAAGAUUAAAUAGACAAGUCAUCGGACAAUGUUGACUUCUGUGAUAAUGGCUGUGGUACAUUUACACGCAGUGCUGAAAAGGCUGGCUUUGUUCAGACACUGCAGGCUUUGUCUUUCUGUGGGUUAACAUUUAACUUCCACUUAAGGCUAUUUUUGCAGCGAAGUUAAAUGGAGCGAAAAGUCCAUGGCAGGUUCAUUGUCCUGUGGAAUGGACAUUCUGAGAACAAUACAUUGAACCUGUUUUUUUUUAUACAAAAUGUGAAUAAAAGUGGGGUCAGUGCUG